CUUUUGAAAAGUGAUGGGAUCGUGGAAGGUGUCAUACUCAUGGGUGGAUUCAUCCACUGAUGAUUUCAUAGCUGGCUUGCCUGGUCAGAAGAGGUGGGUCUCUAAAGGUGUGGCCUGGAAGUGCGCAUCUCCCUCCCCAGCUCCUCCUUUCACUCUGCUUCCUGACCACCAUGAAGUGGGCAGCUUUCUUUUGCCAUAUCCUUCCCAUAUGCCUUUCCUGCCUUGGAAUCAGGGGUCCUGGAACCAAUCCCUUGAAGACAGGAGGAACAACUCUAUCAGUGCCGUGGAAGGAAGGCUGAAAAUCAAGAGAAAUCAAAUGGCUGUGGGAAGCGAUUAAACAGUUAGUUUAUCUUUUAAAGCACAGUAGUGAGAAGAAACAACACUUAAAGCCCACAGUGAACUGCAGGGUAUAAAUAAAAUAAAUUAACUAAUCA